rnacentral:rRNA from 1 species
GAUGAACGCUGGCGGCGUGCCUAACACAUGCAAGUCGAACGGAGUCCAGCCUUUAAGACCUUCGGGUCAAAGAGGGGAAGACUGAGUGGCGGACGGGUGAGUAACACGUGGGCAACCUGGCUCAUAGAGGGGGAUAACAGAGAGAAAUUUCUGCUAAUACCGCAUAAGCACACACUGCCGCAUGGCAGAGGGUGAAAAGAGAAUCGCUAUGAGAUGGACCCGCGUCUGAUUAGCCAGUUGGCAGGGUAAGAGCCUACCAAAGCGACGAUCAGUAGGCGAUCUGAGAGGAAGGACCGCCACCUUGGGACUGAGACACCGCCCAAACUCCCACGGGAGGGAGCAGUUGGGGAUAUUGCAAAAUGGGGGGAAACCUGAUGCAGCGACGCCGCGUGAGUGAAGAAGUAUUUCGGUAUGUAAAGCUCUAUCAGCAGGGAAGAUAAUGACAGUACCUGAAUAAGAAGCCCCGGCUAACUACGUG